CUUUAGUGUGUACGUAGAAGAACAAGGUGGCGUCCGUGGCUCUCAUAUCUGAACUGUUUGGAGAAAUUCUUUGGUGAAUUAUUUCGUGUAUGGUUUCGCACGAUUAUCGUAAUGUUAAUUACAGAAGGUGGGACACUUGUACCAGAACCAAAAUAAACUGGCCUGAGACUGUAUCUGAAAUCUGUCUAGGGCUUCCGGACUAGUACCUGGUAAUCAUGGCUCCUGUUGAUCUAAUGAAAGUUGCUGGCAAAAUAGCGGGUGUGGUGGCGGAGACUGCUAUAAAGAAAGUAGCUAAGAAAGCAAUGAAGAGGAGAGUUCGUAAGGUUGGGGGUUCAAGAAGUGUGAAAGAUAUGGUAGACAGUGGUCUUCGGCAGAUGGCGGAACCUGGCGGCGCUAAGAACUUACUACAGAAGGGCUUGGCCAAGUUGCAGGCUAAAGGUGUGAAGAUUGCCACUGAACUGUUACAAAUGACUUGCGAGGGUGUGGUGUCGGUGUAUCCAGAGGGACUAGCGAUUGAGUUCAGACCAGACGGUACUUGUCAUAUCACAGAAGUGCCUAAGAGAUGCGAGCCUAGGAACGGUGAGGCGGCACACACACUUAAAGCCGAACAUACUUAAUAUACUGGAGCAUCUGAAGUUUCGAAGAGGCCUACUACCCUAAAGACUUGUCUCCAGCAGCAACUGGCUCCAGCUGGCUCUGUAGUUCAGCUGGUUCACUACCAGCUGGUUCACUACCAGCUGGUUCUGAAGUUUUAAGCUUUGUCUUCCAAAACUUUUAAGUCCCCUCCCUGGUCAAUUUCACUUUCACAAUCUUUCAAAAUUUUUAAUUUUUAAACUUUAUUUUUUUCCUAUUUACUCAAUAUUUUGCGAAAUAUUGGUCAUUUAUACACCUGUCAUUAAUAAAUUUUUUAUGAAGU